rnacentral:lncRNA from 1 species
AUCACAUUUAGGUGUGUGGCCUCGUCUGCUUUUAGUGGGGUUAGGUAUUUUUGUUUAUUCGGGCUUGAGGUAAUGUCAAAGUAUUGUUUUUCAAGAAUGUUUAAACAUUCAGACGCACUCACACACACCGCUCUUUAAUAAUCCCUUUAUCUGCCUGAAGCUGAAAUAACUUACUUUCUUGUAAGGAACUGUUAUUGAGAGUUACUUAUUACUAACUAGAUGCAGACAUUGAUUUCAUUAACGAAUAAGUACAGUCCCAAAGAGCUUUUGAUUUUUUUUUUAAUUGCAUAACAUGUAGAGUAUAAACACAAACUGCUUUUUUCAGAACUGUGCUUUUUUAAUUGCUUGAUUUAAAAGGAUUCCUGGAUCAGCAUUUUCUCUCAUUUUUUCUAGUGUAUCUCUGCAACUUCCAAAGCUGGCUGGAGCUAGAUAUGAGGUGUUUACAAGGUAACCACCAGAACCAGCGUAUUCAAAGCUACAGAACUGGCAGACAUCAGUAUCUAAUAGCUGGUGUCCUUCCUCCUUUCCUCCCGUUACAUACGCUCUGUGAAAUGGUGUCAGUGAAGACAACCAAGCCUGCUCUUCUUUUUCCCCAAGCAACUCACAAAUUAUUUGGGAAUCUCAGAGAAGCCCAGCACCAGACAUCAUUAAUUCUCUAG